CCUACGUGAGACAGCAGUGGGGAAUAUUGCACAAUGGGGGAAACCCUGAUGCAGCGACGCCGCGUGAGUGAAGAAGGAAUUCGUUAUGUAAAGCUCUAUCAGCAGGGAAGAAAAUGACGGUACCUGAGUAAGAAGCCCCGGCUAACGACGUGCCAGCAGCCGCGGUAAUACGUAGGGGGCAAGCGUUCUCCGGAUUUACUGGGUGUAAAGGGAGCGUAGACGGCAGUGCAAGUCUGGAGUGAAAGGCGGGGGCUCAACCCCCGGACUGCUCUGGAAACUGUACGGCUGGAGUGCAGGAGAGGUCAGUGGAAUUCCUAGUGUAGCGGUGAAAUGCGUAGAUAUUAGGAGGAACACCAGUGGCGAAGGCGGCUUACUGGACUGUACCUGACGUUGAGGCUCGAAAGCGUGGGGAGCAAACAGGAUUAGAUACCCCUGUAGUC
rnacentral:rRNA from 1 species